UGCCAGCCGCCGCGGUAAUACAGAGGGUGCAAGCGCUAAUCGGAAUUACUGGGCGUAAAGCGUGCGUAGGCGGAUACUUAAGUCAGAUGUGAAAGCCCCGGGCUCAACCUGGGAAUUGCAUCUGAUACUGGGUGUCUAGAGUAUGGUAGAGGAUGGCGGAAUUUCCGGUGUAGCGGUGAAAUGCGUAGAUAUCGGAAGGAACAUCAGUGGCGAAGGCGGCCGUCUGGGCUGAUACUGACGCUGAGGCACGAAAGCGUGGGGAGCGAACAGGAUUAGAUA
rnacentral:rRNA from 1 species